GGAGCCAUGCCUGAAAUAAAGGACCACUUUGAUGUAGUGAACCAUGGGGGUUAAAGUCCCCCUGCCUCCU
rnacentral:tRNA from 1 species